UUAAAAUUACAGGUAAUGUUAACUGAUUUUGGAAUGUUGAAAGAGAUUGAGGAAUCUGAGAGAUCUAACUCUAUGUUACAUAAAGCAUAGUUUUGUUGGGUUUUUAUUUUCAUAUGUUGAAACACAGUCCAGAAUCCAUGUAUAAAGCAAGCAUUUGAUCACGGAAUCAAUUCACCUAUUAUUGAUGAAGAUACACCUGUUAUUGAUGACCUAUUAACUUUUAGCCAAGAUAACACACGUAUUGGAGGAGGAAGCAGGAUUUCAAAAUGGAGAGAAUCUCAUUAAUUUUGGCUUUAUGACAGAUAACACAUAUUGGGACAACAUGAUUUAUCUGAUUUUAAACCUUAAUCAAUUUGGAU